UACAGAGGGUGCAAGCGUUGUUCGGAAUUACUGGGCGUAAAGCGCGCGCAGGCGGGUCCGGUAAGUCGGAAGUGAAAUUUCGGAGCUCAACUCCGAAGCUGCUUCUGAUACUGCGGAUCUAGGGACCGGUAGAGGCUGGUGGAAUUGCAGGUGUAGCGGUGGAAUGCGUAGAGAUCUGCAAGAACACCCGUGGCGAAGGCGGCCAGCU
rnacentral:rRNA from 1 species